AGGACGAACGCUUGCGGCGUGCCUAAGAAAUGCAAGUCGAGCGGGGUAGUAGCAAUACUACCUAGCGGCGAACGGUCGCGUAACACGUAAGCAACCUGCCGAAAAGACCGGGACAACAUCUCGAAAGGGGUGCUAAUACCGGAUGUGGCCACUUUCUCGCAUGGGAGGGUGAUUAAACCGAGCAAUCGGCUUUUCGAGGGGCUUGCGGCCUAUCAGCUAGUUGGUGGGGUAACGGCCUACCAAGGCGACGACGGGUAGCUGGUCUGAGAGGACGGCCAGCCGGACUGGGACUGAGAUACGGCCCAGACUCCUACGGGGGGCAGCAAUUAGGAAUCUUGCACAAUGGGCGAAAGCCUGAUGCAGCGACGCCGCGUGGAGGAGGAAGGCCUUCGGGGUUGUAAACGUCCUUUUUUCGGGGAAGAAACAAUGACGGUACCCGACGAAUAAGCUCCGGCUAACUCCGUGCCAGCAGCCGC
rnacentral:rRNA from 1 species